UGAUAGCCCCGAUCGCAACGGCAUCCUUUUUCUUUUUUUUCUCCGAAAAAAGAAAAAGAUAGAGUGUAGAGCGGGACUUACC
rnacentral:sRNA from 2 species